UCGAUUGUUUGAUCAUGGCUCAGGACGAACGCUGGCGGCGUGCUUAACACAUGCAAGUCGAACGGUGAUGGCCAGCUUGCUGGUCUGAUCAGUGGCGAACGGGUGAGUAACACGUGAGCAACCUGCCCUUCACUCUGGAAUAACCACGGGAAACGGUGGCUAAUACCGGAUAUGAGACGUACACGCAUGUGUCGCGUCUGGAAAGAUUUAUCGGUGAAGGAUGGGCUCGCGGCCUAUCAGCUUGUUGGUGGGGUAGUGGCCCACCAAGGCGACGACGGGUAGCCGGCCUGAGAGGGCGACCGGCCACACUGGGACUGAGAUACGGCCCAGACUCCUACGGGAGGCAGCAGUGGGGAAUAUUGCACAAUGGGCGCAAGCCUGAUGCAGCGACGCCGCGUGAGGGAUGACGGCCUUCGGGUUGUAAACCUCUUUCAGCAGGGAAGAAGCGAGAGUGACGGUACCUGCAGAAGAAGCGCCGGCUAACUACGUGCCAGCAGCCGCGGUAAUACGUAGGGCGCAAGCGUUGUCCGGAAUUAUUGGGCGUAAAGAGCUCGUAGGCGGUUUGUCGCGUCUGCUGUGAAAACCUAAGGCUCAACCUUGGGCUUGCAGUGGGUACGGGCAGACUAGAGUGCGGUAGGGGUGACUGGAAUUCCUGGUGUAGCGGUGGAAUGCGCAGAUAUCAGGAGGAACACCGAUGGCGAAGGCAGGUCACUGGGCCGCAACUGACGCUGAGGAGCGAAAGCAUGGGGAGCGAACAGGAUUAGAUACCCUGG
rnacentral:rRNA from 1 species